AGACUCUCCGGAAAAAAUCCUUCGAUAUUUUGCUGACAUCAGGAAAAAUAAGAAAUUUUGAUGUACUCAAAAAUCACGGUUCGUGUAACUGAGACAUUGUUCUCCGUGUAGCCAGGAGGGUGCACGAAUAUGUCCUGCCUGGUACCAGACGCUGAUGGUGGCCUCUUAAUUCAAUGAGAAAAUGGAAUUUUUUCACUGACCAGACAUUGCACCAAUUCCUUGAUACUGCUUCCCCAAAAGAAAUGGCCCUUUGAAGGGGAUGAUGCCGUCUACCAUUCCUUCCGAAUAAUCCAUUUCCUUGAUCUCGCGAGGCGAUUAGCUGAAAAAUGUAGAAAUUUCAACCGGGUGAGUUUUUGAACCAGCGCUGAAUUUUUUGUUUGACCAAUACAGUUAUUUCCAUUUUUC